rnacentral:snRNA from 1 species
GUAUGUACCUAGCAGAGGAGAUGAUCACAAAGGUGGUUUUCUCAAUAGAUGGUGAUCCAUUGCCCUCUGGAUGUGCUGGCCCCGGCAAUUUCCUCAAACGUGGGAAAUCUGACUGCCUCGUUUGCGGUGAGGAGGACUGUGUUUGUGCUCUCCCCUA